GAUAAUACAAAUUACAAAAGGACAUGCUCCUAUCUCACCAGUUCAGCUAAAUACCUUCCUGGACCUGACGACAUGUUGGUUCUUGAUAUUGCAUAUACCAUCUAUAUGAAAUUUGAGGAGUAUCCGAGUGCACUUGUGACUGCACUAUACCUGGAUAACACACAGUAUGUAAAGCAAGUUUUUACAUCGUGUGAUGAUCUUCUGCGGAAGAAGCAGUUCUGUUACAUUCUUGCUCGCCAUGGUCAGACAUUUGAGCUUGAUGAAGAGAUGUGUGCAGAAGAUGAAGAAAGAGAAGGAUUACAGGAGAUAAUUAACAACACUAAAUUAAGUGAAGGCUAUCUUACACUUGCUCGUGAUAUUGAGGUUAUGGAAGCAAAAACCCCUGAUGACAUAUACAAGCCACAUUUGCUUGAUGGCCGGGCUA
rnacentral:misc_RNA from 1 species